rnacentral:ncRNA from 1 species
CCGUAUCUAACAGAUGACGGUUCUCCGAAAGGAGAGAUUUAGGGAACACGGUGCGGGUCCUCGGACCCCAGGCCGUGGCUGCCCCCGCAACUGUAAUCGGCGAGUGUGAGGCCAAGACACCACUGGGAAACCGGGAAGGUGGUCUCACGCAGCGACCCGAAAGCCAGGAGACCUGCCGUCGACAUUGCUGUUGGC